GAUGAACGCUAGCUACAGGCUUAACACUGCAAGUCGAGGGGAAACGACAUCGAAAGCUUGCUUUUGAUGGGCGUCGACCGGCGCACGGGUGAGUAACGCGUAUCCAACCUGCCCACCACUUGGGGAUAACCUUGCGAAAGUAAGACUAAUACCCAAUGAUAUCUCUAGAAGACAUCUGAAAGGGAUUAAAGAUUUAUCGGUGAUGGAUGGGGAUGCGUCUGAUUAGCUUGUUGGCGGGGUAACGGCCCACCAAGGCUACGAUCAGUAGGGGUUCUGAGAGGAAGGUCCCCAACAUCGGAACUGAGACACGGUCCAAACUCCUACGGGAGGCAGCAGUGAGGAAUAUUGGUCAAUGGACGAGAGUCUGAACCAGCCAAGUAGCGUGCAGGAUGACGGCCCUAUGGGUUGUAAACUGCUUUUAUAAGGGAAUAAAGUGAGUCUCGUGAGGCUUUUUGCAUGUACCUUAUGAAUAAGGACCGGCUAAUUCCGUGCCAGCCGCCGCGGUAA
rnacentral:rRNA from 1 species